GCCAGGCAAGAGUACUGGAGUGGGGUGCCAUCGCCUUCUCCGAUUAAGUCUUUUACCAGCUGUUAACAUAAUGCGUUACCCUGACUGAUUUUUCAAAUACUGAACCAGCCUGCAUCCCUAGAGUAAACCUCAUUUGGACAUGGUGUGAAGCAGACUUUUCGUGGAGUGUAUUUUUGUCUGUUGCCCAUUGGAGAUUCCUGGUUCCAACUUCUUCAGCUCCAAGUCUGGCACCUCUGAGGCAAACAGAAAAUCCAGAGAGCUCAUUAUGUUGUUCUUUGGGUCACAAUGCCCUAGCAGGAUUUCCCAAGUGAAUCAGCGGUAAAGAAUCUGCAGGAGACAAGGAUUCGAUCCCUGGGUCUGGAGGAUCCCCUGGAGGAAGAAAUGGCAACCCACUCCACUGCUCUUGCCUGGAGAAUCCCAUGCACAGAGGAGCCUAGUGGGUUACAGUCUAUGGGGUCGCAAAGAGUGGGACAUGACUGAUAACUGAGCACACACCCUGACCCUUAAAGGGCAAGAACAAUAAACAACAUACAAUUUAUUUUAUUCCUGCACUUGUCUGAUGAACUAUUCUAGAUGCUGUAUUUGAUCCUGGCCCAGAAAGACUAACCUUUAUGCUUUUAAUUAGGAGAGAAAGAAACGUCUUCAAUUAGUUAAUGUUUAUUAAGGUUUUCAUGUAAACAAUACACUGGGCAAGUCUUCGGGACACUUCUGUCAUGGAAACCUAAGGUCAGCCAGGCUUUUUCCUUCUGUUCACCUAAUGAAAGAAACCAUCUGACUGAAGUUAUGUAAAUGGGACACACACUUAAUCACCACUGGACUUUUUCCAUACAGGAUGACCAAGUUAGCCUGCAGCUCUAUGCAAGGAUCCCAUUUCUCAUGCAGCCUGAAAUUAAGGGGCCUGGCAUUCUGACAAACCAUUAACGCCAGACAGCAGACAUGAUGACAGCCUGGACUUUAACUGCCCUCCUCAUAGUUUGGAUCUGCCCAUAGAGAACGAAGCAAGUAUGUUAUCCCACAUUGACCCUAAUUUCUUCAGUUCUUGAUAUCUAGUAGAUUCUGGUUUGCACUUAUACAGAUGCUCACAUUACAGCUGACUCAUAUUUUAGAAUUAAAACCAGAUGUCUAAAGGCAUAAAGCAAUAGCACUAAGUUGAAGCCUCUUACAAAGGAAACAUCUGAUAAUCAUUCAUUAUAACAACAGUUUGCCCUAGAAGGAGUUAAUAAAAUUAAAAAAAAACCUUCUUUAGAAUUAUUUAUUCCCACUUUUGUUCACUGUUAAAACUUCUAAGUCAUCAUAUUAUUUUCCUGAAACUUUGUAAAACACUUUUUUCAAAGACUCUAUAGAAAUGUUUCUAGAGUAGAUAUUCAAGCCUAAAAACAUACUGUGGAAAAAUCUUCCUUUUAGGAAAACCUAGGUUGUUCCUAGUAUCUGAGGCUAUUUUUAAAAACCUAAAUAGAUACCUGUGGGCUUCCUGUGUAUCCACAGGCUCUUUACCCUGCACCUGACAGAGCCAUCCAAACCAGAAACUUGCUGAGUCACAUUUAAGCUCAACUGGCAUGGUUUUCCCUAACAAAUCCUUAGUCUGCAGAAGAUUUUAAAAACAAAUGUAAGCUAUAA